CAGUAGCCGCGGGAAUACGGAGGAUCCGAGCGUUAUCCGGAAUCAUUGGGUUUAAAGGGUCCGUAGGCGGUCUUGUAAGUCAGUGGUGAAAGCCCAUCGCUCAACGGUGGAACGGCCAUUGAUACUGCAGGACUUGAAUUAUUGGGAAGUAACUAGAAUAUGUAGUGUAGCGGUGAAAUGCUUAGAGAUUACAUGGAAUACCAAUUGCGAAGGCAGGUUACUACCAAUUGAUUGACGCUGAUGGACGAAAGCGUGGGUAGCGAACAGGAUUAGAUACCCGCGUAGUCCCUGUCUCUUAUAA
rnacentral:rRNA from 1 species